AACGCACAUUGCGCCCCUUGGUAUUCCGGGGGGCAUGCCUGUUCGAGCGUCAUUUCAACCCUCAAGCUCUGCUUGGUAUUGGGCCCUGCCGGCAACGGCAGGCCUUAAAAACAGUGGCGGUGCCUUUAGGUCCUGAGCGUAGUACAUUUCUCGCUAUAGGUUCCUGAGGGUUACUAGCCAGCAACCCCAAUUUUUCUAUGGUUGACCUCGGAUCAGGUAGGGAUACCCGCUGAACUUAA
rnacentral:misc_RNA from 1 species